AGCUUUUGCCCAAAUAAUAUUUCUUCAAUGAUAAACCUGACAGGUGAUGUCACUACAGAAGUUGUGAUGAAACAAAGGGUAUUCAUUACUUAAAGCAUACACAUUUUUUUCCACAUAACAGGAAAAGAUUAACAAUUGAUUGCAUUGAUUGCAUUGCAUGAGAACAUGUCUUGUUAAGACAUUUAACUCACUCUUUACAAAAAACAAAAACAAACACAAACAUCAGAAAUUCAUAACAACAAACUGAACCAAGGGUAAAUUUGUAAUAUGUCACAUUUUCAUAUAUGAACAAAACACUCUUGCAUGCACUAUCCAUUUCAGAACUUUAUAUAGAUUGUGUACAUGUAUGUAAAACUAUAAAACUGUUCAAAACAACACUGGAUGAAAAAUUGAAUACACUCAAUGGUAUAUGCAAGAUUGGAGGUGACCAACUCUGUAGCUUAUCAAAGCUGACCCAUAAGUCGCUGUUUGACCAACAAAUUACCUCAUACAGUGGCAACUCGUUCUUGCAAACCCUUUUCUUAACACAAAGUUCCAAAUAAUACAAAGAGGAAUUCAAUUUCCAAGGUGUUCUUGUAAAUUUCAUUCUAUCCUGAUAACACAAACCUAAAUCCAAACCCCCACCAACUUUGUGUAAAUGAGUUGCUACUCUACACAGUACAGGAACGAAGAUGCUUCUGAUCCCAGCCAAAUGAGGAGAUAUCAAACUUGAAUGGGCAUAGUACCUUAACAAGUUUGAUCAGAUCACAGAUUGGAGAAAUGCAAUGGAGCAUCUCAUGUUUGCAAAGGGACUUUGGGGCUAACUCUUAUUAUCUCCCCAGCUGGGUCAACACAAGUGAGCAUCAUAUGUCCCCGUUUAAGCUGAAAACCUUUAUACAUGGGCUAUUCAAUUCCUAGGACGACCAGCCGGGAGGUAAUAAUCAAGGUUGGCCUGCAAAGUCCCCAUUUGAUCUACACAACUUUUAACAUCUUAAAACAUGUAAUUACCUACAACUUAAGGAUGCACCCAGCAACGUCAAAGUUUGCCAUACCCUUAAAUGAUUUUUUUUUUAUUGCUAUCUUCAAACUCUGUUCCAUCAUGUCAGUAAAUUCUGUGAUGCUAAUAUAAACA